CAGGAUAUUGCCAACUAGAGUAUCCAUCAAUGGAAAAAUGAUAAGUCAUAUAGCUUCAAGUCCGUAGCUACCUGUAUGAGGGAAAGGAAGUACAUGAACCGUUAUGGAACAAAGAGUAGUCCUGUCAGGGAAUUAAUAGAAAGCAUCCUUCAGGAAAUGUAUCUGUUUAGCUAUAGCUAGGCUGCUGACAACAGAAGGGAAUCUUAGGAAUGAUAAACCUUGUGCGAGUGCCUGCUGUGCUGACCUGCUCAUCCUGUCCCAAGGAAACCUGAGCU